rnacentral:rRNA from 1 species
GUGGGGAAUAUUGGACAAUGGGCGAAAGCCUGAUCCAGCCAUGCCGCGUGUGUGAAGAAGGUCUUCGGAUUGUAAAGCACUUUAAGUUGGGAGGAAGGGCAGUAAGUUAAUACCUUGCUGUUUUGACGUUACCAACAGAAUAAGCCCCGGCUAACUUCGUGCCAGCAGCCGCGGUAAUACGAAGGGGGCGAGCGUUAUUCGGAAUCACUGGGCGUAAAGCGUGCGUAGGCGGUUUUGUAAGUUAGGAGUGAAAGCCCAGGGCUCAACCUUGGAAUUGCUCUUAAAACUGAAAGGCUGGAAUGUCGGAGAGGAUAGCGGAAUUUCCAGUGUAGCAGUGAAAUGCGUAGAUAUUGGAAGGAACACCAGUGGCGUAAGCGGCUAUCUGGACGAGUAUUGACGCUGAGGCACGAAAGCGUGGGGAUCAAACAGGAUUAGAUACCCUAGUAGUCC